AAGCCAGCCAACUGGUCUGCUUAUCUGAAUGUGUUUCUGCAGAAAUGUAGAGAGAGCUGGCGAUGGUGAUGGCAUGUUACAAGCCUUAAGGGCAGUUGAGGUAGGGUCUUGCUCU
rnacentral:snoRNA from 1 species